rnacentral:lncRNA from 1 species
CAAGUUCUAAAUUAAUAGAAGAGUUAAAAGGGCUUCUCCAAUUUUCAAAAUCACCAACUCAGCUUCUCCAAUGUUUUACAAAACCAAAAGACUUUCAUGUAAUAAAACCCAAAAUGGUUACACUCUUCACUAUAAAUACGACCUAAUUUAUGUCAUUUUUGUCGGUUGAUUGUAUAGAAGAGAUGUUCCACUACUUUGACUGUUUAUGCCUAAAUUCAUUAAGACUUUACAAAACUAGCUCUGCU